UAUAGAUGUGCUUUCCUUUUACUUCUCACCACCUCGUGGAAGCUGUCUUAUCUAACUCACGCUUGAGAAGUAUUCAUAUUGAUUCCAAAAUGAAGGACCCUGGCCACGAAUCAUUUGCCAUCUCCUCUACCAAAGACUCAAAAUGUAUGGGCCUGGUAGUCAGCUGGGAAAGUCUGGCAAUAACAGCUGGGCUAAGAAACGUGGAUGCUCAAUUGCCUGCCAAGGGUCUCUUACUUCAGCCCAGCUACAUGCCCCCAGCAUUGGAGAGAGGCCACUUUCACACAUGCCUUGGAAGGACACGAUGAGGCGAGUGGUACGACAGAGCAAGUUUCGGCAUGUAUUUGGGCAAGCGGUGAAAAAUGACCAGUGCUAUGAUGACAUCCGGGUUUCUCGUGUGACCUGGGAUAGUUCCUUUUGUGCUGUCAAUCCCAGAUUUGUUGCCAUAAUCAUAGAGGCAAGUGGGGGAGGAGCGUUCCUUGUCCUCCCUCUGCACAAGACUGGUCGAAUUGACAAAUCCUACCCUACCGUAUGUGGCCACACAGGACCAGUGCUGGACAUAGACUGGUGCCCACAUAACGAUCAGGUCAUUGCCAGCGGUUCAGAGGACUGCACGGUCAUGGUAUGGCAGAUCCCAGAAAAUGGACUCACCCUUUCCCUGACUGAACCUGUGGUGAUUUUGGAAGGCCACUCAAAGAGAGUCGGCAUCGUGGCUUGGCAUCCAACGGCCCGCAAUGUGCUUCUUAGCGCAGGCUGUGAUAAUGCCAUUAUCAUCUGGAAUGUGGGAACAGGGGAAGCCCUUAUAAACUUGGAUGAUAUGCAUUCAGACAUGAUUUACAAUGUGAGCUGGAACCGGAAUGGCAGUCUGAUCUGCACAGCUUCCAAAGACAAGAAAGUGAGAGUCAUUGACCCCAGGAAACAAGAGAUUGUUGCUGAGAAGGAGAAAGCACAUGAAGGAGCAAGACCCAUGAGAGCCAUCUUCCUGGCCGAUGGCAAUGUCUUCACCACUGGGUUCAGCCGCAUGAGCGAACGGCAGCUGGCUCUCUGGAAUCCGAAAAAUAUGCAGGAACCAAUUGCCCUUCAUGAGAUGGACACUAGCAAUGGGGUGUUGCUGCCUUUCUAUGACCCUGACACCAGCAUCAUUUACUUAUGUGGAAAGACAAGAUUGCCGUCAUUGUUCAGGGUGACAGCAGUAUUCGCUAUUUUGAGAUCACGGAUGAAUCCCCGUAUGUCCACUACCUCAACACAUUCAGCAGCAAGGAGCCUCAGAGAGGGAUGGGUUACAUGCCCAAGAGGGGACUUGAUGUUAACAAAUGUGAGAUUGCCAGAUUCUUCAAACUUCAUGAGAGAAAGUGUGAACCUAUUAUCAUGACUGUUCCCAGGAAGUCUGACCUUUUCCAAGAUGACCUGUAUCCUGACACAGCGGGGCCAGAGGCUGCACUGGAGGCAGAAGAGUGGUUCGAAGGCAAGAAUGCAGACCCAAUCCUCAUCUCCUUGAAGCACGGGUACAUUCCAGGCAAAAACAGGGAUCUCAAGGUGGUCAAGAAGAACAUUCUGGAUAGCAAGCCCACUGCAAACAAGAAGUGUGACCUGAUCAGCGUCCCCAAGAAAACCACGGACACGGCCAGUGUGCAAAAUGAAGCCAAGUUGGAUGAGAUUUUAAAAGAGAUCAAAUCUAUAAAAGACACAAUCUGCAAUCAAGAUGAGCGUAUUUCCAAGUUAGAACAGCAGAUGGCAAAAAUAGCAGCCUGAAGGUCCCACCCCCACCCCUACAAAAAAAAUGGGAGCAAGAACUUGUGCUUGGGAGCUGGUUGUUGGUGUGGUCCUAGGGAGGGCGGAAAGGGAGGCACUGCCAUUUGGAGACAUUCCAUUUCAGAUUUGUCAACCAGCGAUAGGCCACAUUCCAGUAAGAACUCAAUUUGUCUCCCAAAUUUGCAGAAACAAAACGUGAUUUAAAAGCUGAGCUUUUUAUCAGAAAGCUUUUUUGAUGUUUUAAGUGUUACGUGACUUGUUGAACUUUUUAAAAAGUGCUACUUUUAAAAUCCCAGAUACUCUGAAUUUUAGAAAACAAAUUUUAGAAAAAAAAAAAGUACCCUUUUUUUUUAAUGAAUAGGGACCAAUGCCACAUUGCUUUUUAUAUUUCUUUCUUUUUUAAUGUUGCCAAAACCAAAAGUAGCUUUGUUUUCGUUUGUAUUUUGCUACUUUGCAGUAUUUGUGUGUGGUUUUUUUUUUCCUUAAUUUGAAAGGGACAGCACUGUGUAUGUUUAUAAACUAAAUGAAGAUAAGAUAUUAUUUUCUAUAAACAUUCAUCUGAGAACAAUCAAAGCAGCAGCCACAUGGUGCUGGCUCCUUUGCAGCACAAACCUGGUCAUUUUGAUGACUGUACAACAGGAAGACUUGAAAAAUCACGUGGAUUCAUAUUACCACUGCUCUCAUUUCAUGGAGUCUUCUGAUCAAAAAAGCUCACAUCAUAUUUCUUCCUUUCCUUUCUCUUUUCUAGAAAUUGGGUGUUUGUACCAGAAUGGAAUUUUGCUUCUCGGUUAUCCUGUGCUUCAGAUGAUUAUAAUCUAACCCAAACUAGCAUGUGUUUCUGCAGUUUGUUACACAUCUAGGAUCUAUUGCAUUCAUCACUUUAAACAUCAUGUUUCAGGUUUUGGUCGAUACUUGACAAGGGUGCCCAGGAUGGGAAGACAUGUGUACUGCUGAGUGUUCCUUCUUGCCCUUUUCAGCAGCUUGCCCGGCUCUUGAGUACAGUGGUGGGGACUAAAAACGUGGGCAUGUGGAGAGGGGUAUUUGCCCUGGGUGAUCCUGUUUCCCUGUGCUGUCCCCAUGCUGUGUUGGAGGAGGAAGUGGCUCUCCUUCCACCAACAAAGCUCCUGCCCUACCCUCUUCCUCACAUGUGCUGCGACCUCUCUCAGGGCUCCCCCAGCCAUUCCUACUUUCCUUCCUGCCUUUUAGCUCUAACCACAUUAAGCUAAGACAAGGCCAGAGGGUGUGAUUGAAUGACUAUUGAGACUGAGGAGAAUGAUAGAGAGUGAAGCAGAAACAGGAGCGCAGACCUCUGCUGUAGCUUUAAUGCAUACAAACAUGUCCCUCCGCACAACUAACCGGCCUUGCCUCUCCAUCUCGCACCAAGGCUGUGUCAAAGCACAGAGGCUCCCUGGACUCGGAGGGGGCCAGAGACUGAGCUCUGGUUGCCUGUUCAUUCCUCAGUUAGCUGGAACUUUGCCCCAUUUCCAAUUUCUUAUAGUGCAUGCUUGGGAAACAAGAUUUAAGGAGCCUCUGUUCUGGAAGGGCUGUCUGUGAUUGAACGUGAAGUGUGUAGUGCCAUUGGGACCACGAAGGGAAUUCUUGCACAUGCUCGUGCUGGUGUGGGCAUGGGACUGGCUGGAAACGUCUGCAUACAGGGAGCCAGGGUGAGAGCGGAGUGUGGUGACAGCUGAACUUGGAGUAAUGUCCGUGUAGAAAAAGGACCAUAUUCUUAUCCAGCCAAUAUUGGGAGUGCUGUCUCCACAAUUUCAGGGCAUCUGAAUGUUUGAUGUGGUUUCGUGUGUGUGUAUGUGUAUGUGUGUGUUUAAUAUUGAAGUGGAUCAUGAGAUGUAAAGAAAACAAUAAUGACAAUGACUUAUAUUCAAACCUGUGUUUGUUUCUUUAUCAAUGUAAUCUGCUGAGGACCUUUUGUCUAAGAUUCAGAAGUGUUUUAAGGUUCUGAUAUCGAAUUAAUGAAGUAAAGUUGUUGAUGGUGGUGAAACACCGUAGGGCAUGUGGUUCAAAGAGAAGCAGGAGGGCAAGGGAAAGUUACCCUGAUCUUAGUUUGUAGCUUAUGACUUAUUUAAUGAACGGAUGCCCAGCCAAGCUCAGAGUAGGUGCCCCAAAGCAUUGUGGAUUAUUUUCCUGUUUUGUCUUUUUUUUUUUUUUUUUUUUUUUUUUUAAGCCGUGACAUCCCGGAAGAGGACAGUGAAUUACUCCUAGGUCGGCUCUUAUAGAGUGGUCAUAGUGUUCUGUCAAAACACUUGCUUCCAUUUUCAGAGAUAAAAAUCAUUGAUUACAAAA